rnacentral:rRNA from 1 species
GAUGAACGCUGGCGGCGUGCUUAACACAUGCAAGUCGAACGGGAAACCUUUUAUUGAAGCUUCGGCAGAUUUAGCUGGUUUCUAGUGGCAGACGGGUGAGUAACGCGUGGGUAACCUGCCUUAUACAGGGGGAUAACAACCAGAAAUGGUUGCUAAUACCGCAUAAGCGCACAGGACCGCAUGGUCCGGUGUGAAAAACUCCGGUGGUAUAAGAUGGACCCGCGUUGGAGUAGCUAGUUGGCAGGGUAACGGCCUACCAAGGCGACGAUCCAUAGCCGGCCUGAGAGGGUGAACGGCCACAUUGGGACUGAGACACGGCCCAGACUCCUACGGGAGGCAGCAGUGGGGAAUAUUGCACCAUGGGGGAAACCCUGAUGCAGCGACGCCGCGUGAAGGAAGAAGUAUCUCGGUAUGUAAACUUCUAUCAGCAGGGAAGAUAGUGACGGUACCUGACUAAGAAGCCCCGGCUAACUACGUG